rnacentral:misc_RNA from 1 species
GAUGAAGAACGCAGCGAAAUGCGAUAAGUAAUGUGAAUUGCAGAAUUCAGUGAAUCAUCGAAUCUUUGAACGCACAUUGCGCCCGCCAGUAUUCUAGCGGGCAUGCCUGUUCGAGCGUCAUUUCAACCCUCAAGCACAGCUUGGUGUUGGGACUCGCGUUAAUUCGCGUUCCCCAAAUUGAUUGGCGGUCACGUCGAGCUUCCAUAGCGUAGUAGUAAAACCCUCGUUACUGGUAAUCGUCGCGGCCACGCCGUUAAACCCCAACUUCUGAAUGUUGACCUCGGAUCAGGUAGGAAUACCCGCUGAACUUAAGCAUAUCAAUAAGCGGAGGA